rnacentral:rRNA from 1 species
AUGGCAAAUUCCACAUGGCAACAGCAGGAUGUCUAUAUGGAGCCAAUUCAUUAUAGGCUAGUAGGUUUUCAAUGCAAAUGUUUAUACAUAUGCACUAAAAAUAUUUUAUGCUCCAGCUACUUACCUUCUAUUUCAGCAGUCCUCCUGAACCUUAGCGCAGCGGUAAAGCUGUUGCCGACCAUGAGGUCACGGGUUCGAGUCCUGGAAACAGCCUCGUGCAGAAAUGUAGGGAAAGGCUGCAUACAAAAGACCCAAAGUGGUCGGACCCUUCCCUGGACCCUGCGCCAGCGGGAGCUAAGUACACCGGGCUGCCCUUUUUAG